GAUGAACGCUAGCUACAGGCUUAACACAUGCAAGUCGAGGGGCAUCACAGUGUAGCAAUACACGGGUGGCGACCGGCGCACGGGUGCGUAACACGUAUCCAAUCUGCCCGUUACUCGGGGAUAGCCUUCUGAAAGGAAGAUUAAUACCCGAUGGCAUGUAUUUCCGGCAUCGGAGAUACAUUAAAGAUUAAUCGGUAACGGAUGAGGAUGCGUACGAUUAGCUGGUUGGCGGGGUAACGGCGCACCAAGGUGACGAUCGUUAGGGGUUCUGAGAGGAAGGUCACCCACACUGGAACUGAGACACGGUCCAGACUCCUACGGGAGGCGGCAUUGAGGAAUAUUGGUCAAUGGGCGCGAGCCUGAACCAGCCAAGUAGCGUGAAGGAUGACUGCCCUACGGGUUGUAAACUUCUUUUGUUUGGGAAUAAAUGAUACUACGUGUAGUAUUUUGCAUGUACCUUACGAAUAAGCAUCGGCUAAUUCCGUGCCAGCAGCCGCAGUAAAAC
rnacentral:rRNA from 1 species